GACGAACGCUGGCGGCGUGCUUAACACAUGCAAGUCGAGCGGAAAGGCCCUUUCGGGGGUACUCGAGCGGCGAACGGGUGAGUAACACGUGAGUAAUCUGCCCUUGGCUUUGGGAUAACUACCGGAAACGGUGGCUAAUACCGGAUACGACCACUCCUUGCAUGAGGUGGUGGUGGAAAGUUUUUUCGGCCAGGGAUGUGCUCGCGGCCUAUCAGCUUGUUGGUGGGUAAUGGCCUACCAAGGCUUCGACGGGUAGCCGGCCUGAGAGGGUGACCGGCCACACUGGGACUGAGACACGGCCCAGACUCCUACGGGAGGCAGCAGUGGGGAAUAUUGCGCAAUGGACGGAAGUCUGACGCAGCGACGCCGCGUGAGCGACGAAGGCCUUCGGGUCGUAAAGCUCUGUUCUUGGGACGAAUAAAAUGACGGUACCCAAGGAGAAAGCCCCGGCUAACUAACGUG
rnacentral:rRNA from 1 species